rnacentral:rRNA from 1 species
AGAAUCAACGCUGGCGGCGUGCCUAACACAUGCAAGUCGCACGAGAAAGUGGGGCAAUCCAUGAGUAAAGUGGCGCACGGGUGAGUAACACGUGAAUGAUCUACCUCCGAGUGGGGAAUAACUGAGAGAAAUCUUAGCUAAUACCGCAUAAUACCCACGGGUCAAAGCAGCAAUGCGCUUGGAGAGGAGUUCGCGGCCGAUUAGCUAGUUGGCGGGGUAAUGGCCCACCAAGGCGAUGAUCGGUA